rnacentral:rRNA from 1 species
GUGCACCAGUCGAGAAACCUUCGCAAUGCGGGAAACCGCGACGAGGGGACUCCCAGUGCCUACGCUCAGCGUAGGCUGUUCCCGAGCCUAGAAAGCUCGGGGAGUAAGGGCUGGGUAAGACGGGUGCCAGCCGCCGCGGUAAUACCCGCAGCCCGAGUGGUGGCCACUAUUAUUGGGCCUAAAGCGUCCGUAGCCGGCCCGGUAAAUGCCUGGGUAAAUCGUGAGGCCUAACCUCACGAAUUCCGGGUAGACUGCCGGGCUAGGGACCGGAGGAGGGAGAGGGUACUCCAGGGGUAGGGGUGAAAUCCUGUAAUCCCUGGAGGACCACCGGUGGCGAAGGCGCUCUCCUAGGACGGGUCCGACGGUGAGGGACGAAAGCCAGGGGAGCGAACCGGAUUAGAUACCCCCGUAGU